AGACUGGAGGGCGAUCUGGCUGCAGAGUCUGUCAUCUCAUCGAUGGGCAGCGUUGAUUGGCCUGAUCUGGCUGGCUAGGUAGGUGACCCCUUCCUCCCUCACUGCUCCAUGUGUACCCUCCUGAAGCUGCACACUGAAUUGAAGAGGAUGGCCAUCCCCAAUAGGGGAGGACCACUUCCUC
rnacentral:snRNA from 1 species